rnacentral:rRNA from 1 species
CGUAGUUAGCCGUGGCUUCCUCCUCUGGUACCGUCAUUAUCGUCCCAGAAGACAGAACUUUACAACCCUAAGGCCUUCAUCAUUCACGCGGCGUUGCUGCGUCAGAGUUUCCUCCAUUGCGCAAUAUUCCCCA